rnacentral:rRNA from 5 species
UACCCGCUGAACUUAAGCAUAUCAAUA